UACGUAGGGGGCAAGCGUUGUCCGGAUUUAUUGGGCGUAAAGAGCGUGUAGGCGGCUAGAUAGGUCGGUUGUGAAAACUCGAGGCUCAACCUCGAGACGCCGGUGGAAACCAUCUAGCUAGAGUCCGGAAGAGGAGAGUGGAAUUCCUGGUGUAGCGGUGAAAUGCGCAGAUAUCAGGAAGAACGCCCGUGGCGAAGGCGGCUCUCUGGUACGUGACUGACGCUGAGACGCGAAAGCGUGGGGAGCGAACAGG
rnacentral:rRNA from 1 species